GGAAGCUCGAAGAGAUUUGAGUGUGCUCGCAAGAGAGCCGUAACACAGGUGCUGCAUGGCUGUCGUCAGCUCGUGUCGUGAGAUGUUGGGUUAAGUCCCGCAACGAGCGCAACCCUUGUCAUUAGUUGCUACGAAAGGGCACUCUAAUGAGACUGCCGGUGACAAACCGGAGGAAGGUGGGGAUGACGUCAAGUCCUCAUGGCCCUUAUAGGUGGGGCUACACACGUCAUACAAUGGCUGGUACAAAGGGUUGCCAACCCGCGAGGGGGGAGCCAAUCCCAUAAAGCCAGUCGUAGUCCGGAUCGUAGUCUGCAACUCGACUGCGUGAAGUCGGAAUCGCUAGUAAUCGUGGAUCAGCAUGUCACGGUGAAUACGUUCCCGGGUCUU
rnacentral:rRNA from 1 species